AUGGUCACUGUUGCUCUCGUCUAUCUCAGCCGGGACGCCACUCCUAUAAGAAGGCGUGCAUCCCGUCCUCCAUUAGGCAGAACAAGCAGCGUAUACACAGCCAAGCAAAGAACCAGCCCGAUCCUUGCAGGCAUGAGGCCCCAGGCGCUGCUCGCCGCGCUAGUCGUCGUCGCCGUCCUCGCAGCAGCUCUGCCCCUCGCCCACAGCCAAGAUGCAGGGGCGACGCCGAGCGCGUGGCCGUGUUGCGACAAGUGCGGCUCGUGCACCAGGUCCAUCCCGCCGCUUUGCACGUGCAUGGACAUGUCACCGACCGGGUGCAACAAGGCCUGUAAGACCUGUGCCAAGCCCAACUCCACCCUCGCCGGCGGUGACGGCUUCCGGUGUGCGGACCGCAUCGCCAACUUCUGCAAGCGCCGCUGCACGCCGGUUGCAUGA
rnacentral:rRNA from 1 species